rnacentral:rRNA from 1 species
UAGGCAGCAGUGGGGAAUAUUGCACAAUGGGCGCAAGCCUGAUGCAGCGAUGCCGCGUGAGGGAAGAAGGUUUUCGGAUUGUAAACCUCUGUCAUCGGGGACGAAAAUGACGGUACCCGAGAAGGAAGCUCCGGCUAACUACGUGCCAGCAGCCGCGGUAAU